GACGAACGCUGGCGGCGUGCCUAAUACAUGCAAGUCGAACGCAGUGGGGACGGGUGAGUAACACGUGGGUAACCUCCCAUCAGAGGGGAUAACACUUGGAAACAGGUGCUAAACCGAUACUGAUGGAUGGUCCAGUGGUGCAUUAGCUAGUUGGUGAGGUAACGGCUCCCCAAGGCCACGAUCCAUAGCCGACCGGUGGGCGUACUCGGCCACACUGGGACUGAGACACGCCCCAGACUCCUCCGGGAGGCAGCAGUAGGGAAUCUUCGGCAAUGGACGAAAGUCUGACCGAGCAACGCCGCGUGAGUGAAGAAGGUUUUCGGAUCGUAAAACUCUGUUGUUAGAGAAGCGGUAUCUAACCAGAAAGCCACGGCUAACUACGUGCCAGCAGCCGCGGUAAUUC
rnacentral:rRNA from 1 species